rnacentral:rRNA from 1 species
UACGUAGGGUGCGAGCGUUGUCCGGAAUUAUUGGGCGUAAAGAGCGCGUAGGCGGCCAGAUAAGUCCGGUGUGAAAGUCAAAGGCUCAACCUUUGAAUGCCGCUGGAAACUGUCUGGCUAGAGUCCGGGAGGGGCGAGUGGAAUUCCUGGUGUAGCGGUGAAAUGCGCAGAUAUCAGGAGGAACACCAAUGGCGAAGGCAGCUCGCUGGAACGGUACUGACGCUGAGGCGCGAAAGCGUGGGGAGCGAACAGG